rnacentral:rRNA from 1 species
AGCGUAGUAGUUGCUCGUGCUNAGANACGCUGGCGGCGUGCCUAACACAUGCAAGUCGAACGAGAAUCAUUGGAACGGAGAUUCGUCGAAGGAAGAUGAGGACAGUGGCGGACGGGUGAGUAACGCGUGAGCAACCUGCCCUUCGGAGGGGGACAACAGCUGGAAACGGCUGCUAAUACCGCAUGAUAUAUUCGGGAGGCAUCUCUUGAAUAUCAAAGAUUUAUCGCCGAAGGAUGGGCUCGCGUCUGAUUAGCUGGUUGGUGGGGUAACGGCCUACCAAGGCGACGAUCAGUAGCCGGACUGAGAGGUUGAACGGCCACAUUGGGACUGAGAUACGGCCCAGACUCCUACGGGAGGCAGCAGUGGGGAAUAUUGGGCAAUGGGGGCAACCCUGACCCAGCAACGCCGCGUGAAGGAAGAAGGCUUUCGGGUUGUAAACUUCUUUGACGAGGGACGAAUGAUGACGGUACCUCGAAAACAAGCCACGGCUAACUACGUGCC